GGGGAAACCUUUAACAAAAGGCAGGAAGAGGAUUCUUUUCAAACACGGAGAAUUGAACAUUGGCACGUCCUGUCUCCUGUCAAAAUGUCAUUUAAGUAACAGUACAGGAGUUAAAAAGGUAUAAACUCAGAAGCACAAAGAGAGCAGGAAGGACACAUAUUAGACAAGAGAAUAUACCCAAAGGAAUGUAAAUCAUUCUACCAUAAAGACACACGGAUGUAUACGUUCAUUGCAGCACUAUUCACAAUAGCAAAGACAUGAAAUCAACCUAAAUGCCCAUCAACUGCAGACUGGAUAAAGAAAAUGUAGUACAUAUACACCACGGAAUACUACACAGCCGUAAGAAAGAGCAAGAUCUUGUCCUUUGUGGAAACAAUGAAUUUAGAGGCCAUUGUUCUGAGUGAACUAAUGGAGGACCAGAACACCAAACACUGCAUGUUCACAUUUAUAAGUCGGAGCUAAACAUUGACAUUGAGUAGAUACAGACACAAAGAAGAGGCCAGUGGACAAUGGGGCCUGCUUCUUGGGUGGAGAAUGGGAGGAGGGUGAGAAUUGAAAAACCACCUAUUGAGUACUAUGCUUAUUACUUGGGUGAUGAAAUAACCUGCACAGCAACCCCCCACGACACACUAUUUACCCAUAUAACCAACCCACGCAUGUACCCCUGAACCUACAAUAUAAGUUAAAAAAAGUUCAGAAAAUGUUGAAAACCUGAAAGUGGAAGAUAAAUAGUAAACGACUUUGCAAACCUGAGAAAGCUGAAAGCUAAUAAUCUAUGAAUUGAUACAAAAUCCAGAAAGACUCAAGAAUUGAACAUGCCAGGUCCCAGAGGAGAGGGAUUGGGGCGGGCCUGGAAACUGGAGAAGUGGACAAUAGCUUUCAAGGAAAAUCCACUCAGAUUCAAGCCCUGAAAAUGAACCUGGCCUGACUGGCUCCGUAGCCUGUGUUUGUGCCUCUCCUACCCACAGGGACAGGCUGGGAUUUCUGAGCCCUGUGCAGGCUCAGGAGGAAAGGCAGAUUCUGGGGAAGAAGCCCCCAGCAACAGGAGCAAUCCCAGCUGCAGAGCCAGGCUCCUGUCGUCAGGCCUGGCCCAUGUCCUGCCAGUCAGCGCAUGGCUGGAGGACCGCACAACUAGCUGUGACGGUGGCUGCCUUCUUUCCAUUUCUACUCCAGCAAGCUGGCCCCAGGAACAGCUGCGUGGGAGGUAAAUGGAAACUUUGAGGAGAAAGCCCAGUGGUCACCCAGGGCUGGCGAUGCUCCUGCCUUUAAGGUGUCCUGGGCACCCGAGCAGCUGUGGGCUACGGCUUAUACUUUCCCUAACUGCGGGUGGCUUUAUUGGAAUGUGAGACACAGGCCAUUAACCUUUUACCCCAGUCAUGCAGCUAAUCACCAGAGCAUUUCACCACCUCAGCCGUGGCUGCAAAACACUAAGCUGAUUAUGGGAAAGUGCAGAACACGAAUGCUCUUGUGGAAUUUUCAGUAGAGAUAAGCAUUUGCUGAGAUUGAAUGUGAUGUGAACUCAGCGCCCUCUCCAUCUUACUGUGACCUGAAGCCCAAUGAGCCGGUCCCUGGGUGGACCCUGUCCCUGGGUGGACCCUGCCCCUCAGUGGCCCCUUCCAGGAAGGCCUUUGGUCUUCAUGCACUCAGUCAGCUGUGGCUGGUACCUGUCCUCCUCAGGCAUCAUCUCAGGUAAGACAAGGUGUGGGACCUGGGGCUGGCAGAAACAAGAACCCCUGGUGCUGGAAUGGCCGGCGGUGAAGGUUCUCCAGAGCUUAUCCCACUGCGGCAGCUCAGAAAGAUGAAGCAGCUCUCCCGUUGUGUCCUCCCAGCACACAAACCUGCUGUCAGUGACUCCAAGGCCCAGGAGGAGCUCCAAAAACCACACACUGGAGAAGAUCUGUCAUGGCCAAGUCCCACAGGGACUCCGGGCUGACAACCAGACCUGGCCCUGGGUUCUGACAGGGGCUUUUGGCAUGCCCCAUGGGACCCCCACAGAAGACCGUAGGACCUGACAGCAACUCCACAUUUCCAGAAGGAAGAAAACAGGAUCUUGGGUGUUGGUGGUGGGUCCCAGGAAUCUCCUCUCAGUGAAGCCAUUUCGUUCUUCCAGGGGCUGAGAUCCAAACCCAGAGCCUUUUGGCCUUCCUCUUCCCUCACUCCCCAUCAGCAUACACAGCCAGGACUGGGCCUCUGCUCCCUCUGGCCUUCCCCACUCACCCCUGGGCCAACCGUCCGCUUCUCGCCUGGAUGACUUUGGGGCCUCCCACCUGUCAGAUUAUACCUGUUACACCUGAGUCACAUCAGUCCCACCUGUGCUCAAACUCCCCACGGCCCCCAGCCCUCCUUUUUUAGCCUUUUCCUGCUUGUUUUCCCCAUUGCACUUGUUCGUAGCUGGCCUGGCUUGUAUUUCCCGGUUCAUUUGCAUUUUGAGUCCACCCCACUGCAAGGUGAACAUGUGAACAGCAUUUUGUUUGCUUUGUCAACAGCUAUAUCCUCAGUGCCUACAGUGUCCCCAGCAGGGAGCUCUGCUGAGCAUGUUGAUGCAGCGACACAGCCAGAGCUCCAGGCAGAGACCCCAUGGGUGGUGGUGUGCACUCGGCGGCACCUGUGAGGUCACCUAUGAUGGCA
rnacentral:lncRNA from 1 species